AAAUUGAAGAGUUUGAUCAUGGCUCAGAUUGAACGCUGGCGGCAGGCCUAACACAUGCAAGUCGAACGGUAGCACAGAGAGCUUGCUCUCGGGUGACGAGUGGCGGACGGGUGAGUAAUGUCUGGGAAACUGCCUGAUGGAGGGGGAUAACUACUGGAAACGGUGGCUAAUACCGCAUAAUGUCGCAAGACCAAAGAGGGGGACCUUCGGGCCUCUUGCCAUCAGAUGUGCCCAGAUGGGAUUAGCUAGUUGGUGAGGUAACGGCUCACCAAGGCGACGAUCCCUAGCUGGUCU
rnacentral:rRNA from 1 species